GAGGAUGUUCAUUGCUUGCUAGUGCCUUUCAGAUACCCUACAGCAUAAGCAGGAAGGUGCCUACCUAGUUCUUUACAAAUCACUCAAGCUAGCUCUUGCUCAACUAUGUCUAAUUGCCUGCUGCAUAGGUCAUAUCUUUUUCCUCAGCCUAAACCUGAACAUGAGCCUGAGCCUGUAAAUAAUUUUUAUUCAAAAUAUUAGAUUCAUUCAUUUUCUCACUGUCUCCAAGGUCCCUGGGAGUUAAGCCCUUUCUGGCUGCAACUUUAAAAAGUGUUUUUGUGGCAGGCACUGCUAGUUGUCAACCCAAUAGCCAUAUUUUCCCCUUUCUGAUAAGAGAACCUGAAUUUUCUUCUGGGUAGCAAUGCAUCUAGCUAAAGUGUACAUUUCUCACUCUUGUUUGCAGCUAGGUGACCAUGUGUCAAAGUUUUGGCCAAUGAGGUAUAAGUAGCAGACUACAGGCAAGGUUUCUGGAAAAGCUAUAGUUUCCUGUUGUAUUAGUCCGUUUUCACACUGCUGAUAAGACAUACCAGAGACUGGGCAAUUUACAAUAGAGGUUUAAUUGGACUUAUAGUUCCACGUGGCUGGGGAAGCCUCACAAUCAUGGCAGAAGGCAAGUAGUAACAAGUCACAUGUUAACAUGGAUGGCAGCAGGCACAAGAGAGAAACUGUGCAGGAAAACUCCCAUUUUUAAAACCAUCAGAUUCGAUAAUCUCCCACUGGGUCCCUCCCACAACACAUGGGAAUUACGGGAGCUACAAGAUAAGAUUUGGGUGGGGACGCAGAGUCAAACCAUAUCACCAGUUUAAAAAAGAUCGCUUUGGUCUUUUGUUUUUGCCUUUCUCUUUCUUCUUCUCCCCCCUACCUGAAAGAUGGACCUUAUGCUCAAGGUGGAGAAGCCACAACAUGACUGUGCGAUGAACACCACACCCUAAGGAAAGCAAACCAGAAGGAUGGGAGGAUCCCAGGAUGUUAAUGUCACUGGAACCACCUGUCUCUGAACUUCCUCUUGAUUAAGUUACCAUAGUGGGGUUUUUAUUUCAUUCAGCCUAAUGUAAUGCCUAAAUGACAUAGUCUUUUUAAAUGUGGUUUAUCUACUUUGUUAAACAGCUUAGUAAUUUUUACUAACCUAACUUUUAGGCGAAGUAUUUACUGUCCCGUUCUCUAGGAACACUUUAAGAGAAUUCCAGCUCAAGGAAUAAUUGCUGGCAGUAUGAUAAGAGUAAGUUUAAGAACCUCUGGCCUUUGGGAGGCCGAGACGGGCGGAUCAUGAGGUCAGGAGAUUGAGACCAUCCUGGCUAAUAUAUGGUGAAACCCGUCUCUACUAAAAAAUACAAAAAAACUAGCCCGUGGCGGGCACCUGUAGUCCCAGCUACUUGGGAGGCUGAGGCAGGAGAAUGCUGUGAACCCGGGAGGCGGAGCUUGCAGUGAGCCGAGAUCCGGCCACUGUGCCACAGCCUGGGCAACAGAGCGAGACUCCGUCUCAAAAAAAAAAAAAAAAAAAAAAAA
rnacentral:lncRNA from 1 species